rnacentral:lncRNA from 1 species
UCAUAAGUAAUGUUCACAUGGUAGAGAUAAGUGAUAACCUUUUUUUAUAGACUUCACCAAAGUCUUACUAAUGACUUGUUAGAUUUCUAGGUAAGAUCAGUAAUCAUUAAGGUUGCAUAAGGGAAAUUUUUCUCACCUUAUCUUCCAUUCACUUGCAUGUAUGACAUUAUUAUCUUCUGUCCUUUACGUUGUUCCUUUGGCUUUGCUGUUAGUCCAAAAAAUGAUUAAACUUCUUGACAGCUAGAGAUGUCCCUUUAAAAAAUCCAUUCACUGCCAGACAGUUUUUUUCUAGACACUAAAAGAUGAUAAGUCUUUUAGAUGUGUGCAUUUUUCUAUUCAUUAAUUUAUUUUUCUUAGAUUUCUAGGUAUGCAAGAAGGAAUAAUAAUAGUAAAAAAAUAUAUUGUUGAUCCCUCUUUCUAGUUUGAAACACUAGGCUAAACUUUGUAUUCCAUAUGUUCAGUUAUAUUAGGUUUUCAAAGGAGACUUCGAGAUAGCAGCAUAUUUUCCUUCUUGUUGUUCAUAACAGCAAAUGAACAUGAUAAUAUUACAAGGGUCGUCUCACAUAUAUUUUGAAAUGUUAAGGAGAAAUUAACUUCUAACUGUUGGAGUUUUUCCAGUGAUUUCUAAAUACACAUAGAGAAGCAGUCUGUGUCAUGAAGUGCUUCUAGUGAUUUUGAUGGUAGAAGAGCCAUGGUAGAGAAAUGUUGAACUUAGAAAAUCAGGUUGUUUAGCCUGCCUGUUGAUCUGGAGAAACAGUUCAUGCCUGCCUUGCAAAUGAAGAUUUGGGAGGAAAAAGUAUCCUUGAGACUGCUUUGCCUGGUGAGCCCUCAAUUACUGUCUAAUGGUGGCAGAGAGUCAUUUUUCUUAGUGCAAAUGAGUGCUACCUGCUUUUAAUCUUGGACAUUACAAUCCCUUUUUCAGAUUAAGUGAAAUGUUAGAGGGAGAGGAAAUCCCAUCAGGAGCAUCAAUACAGCAUUACUUUAAGUUGUAAUGAUGGCAGUUGCAGAGCUGAACAAAUG